rnacentral:rRNA from 1 species
UGGGGAAUAUUGGGCAAUGGGCGAAAGCCUGACCCAGCGACGCCGCGUGGGCGAUGAAGGCCUUCGGGUUGUAAAGCCCUGUCAUGCGGAAAGAACGACCCUGUGACGCAUACUCACAGGGAGUGACGGUACCGCAGGAGGAAGCACCGGCUAACUCCGUGCCAGAAGCCGCGGUACUACGGAGGGUGCAAGCGUUGGUCGGAAUUAUUGGGCGUAAAGGGCGCGUAGGCGGUAAUGUAAGUCAGAUGUGAAAUACGUCGGCUCAACUGAAGAACUGCAUCUGAAA